rnacentral:rRNA from 1 species
GACAGGGGGUGCAAACGUUGUUCGGAAUUACUGGGCGUAAAGCGCGUGUAGGCGGCAAGCCAAGUCGGGUGUGAAAGCCCUGGGCUCAACCCAGGAAGUGCAUUCGAUACUGGCAGCUAGAGUCCCGGAGAGGAUGGUGGAACUCUCGGUGUAGAGGUGAAAUUCGUAGAUAUCGAGAAGAACACCGGUGGCGAAGGCGGCCAUCUGGACGGUGACUGACGCUGAGACGCGAAAGCGUGGGGAGCAAACAGGG